GACGAACGCUGGCGGCGUGCCUAAUACAUGCAAGUCGAACGCUCUACAAUUCACCGGGUGCUUGCACCCACCGAAUUGUAGGGAGUGGCGAACGGGUGAGUAACACGUGGGUAACCUGCCCAUCAGCGGGGGAUAACACUUGGAAACAGGUGCUAAUACCGCAUAGUUCUCUUUUCUACAUGGGAGAGAGAGGAAAGACGCUUUCGGGUGUCACUGAUGGAUGGACCUGCGGUG
rnacentral:rRNA from 1 species